rnacentral:misc_RNA from 1 species
GAUGAAGAACGGCAGCGAAAUGCGAUAAGUAAUGUGAAUUGCAGAAUUCCGUGAAUCAUCGAAUCUUUGAACGCACAUUGCGCCCCUUGGUAUUCCAUGGGGCAUGCCUGUUCGAGCGUCAUUUGUACCUUCAAGCUUUGCUUGGUGUUGGGUGUUUGUCUCGCCUUUGCGUGUAGACUCGCCUUAAAAUAAUUGGCAGCCGGCGUAUUGAUUUCGGAGCGCAGUACAUCUCGCGCUUUGCACUCAUAACGACAGCGUCCAAAAGUACAUUUUACACUCUUGACCUCGGAUCAGGUAGGGAUACCCGCUGAACUUAAGCAUAUCAAUAAGCGGAGGA